CGUAUCACUUAAAGCGAUUCAGCGGGUUACGAUUGACGGAGCGAAGCGACGUCAAAGCGUAUACAAAGUCGAGUCGGUUUAAGGAUACGUUCGUUGGGUAGGGGAGCGUUCUGUAAGCCUGUGAAGGUGGCCUGUGAGGGUUGCUGGAGGUAUCAGAAGUGCGAAUGCUGACAUAAGUAACGAUAAAGCGGGUGAAAAGCCCGCUCGCCGGAAGACCAAGGGUUCCUGUCCAACGUUAAUCGGGGCAGGGUGAGUCGACCCCUAAGGCGAGGCCGAAAGGCGUAGUCGAUGGGAAACGGGUUAAUAUUCCCGUACUUGGUGUUACUGCGAAGGGGGGACGGAGAAGGCUAUGUUGGCCGGGCGACGGUUGUCCCGGUUUAAGCGUGUAGGUGUGUGUUCCAGGUAAAUCCGGUUCACUUUAACACUGAGGCGUGACGACGAGGCACUACGGUGCUGAAGCAACAAAUGCCCUGCUUCCAGGAAAAGCCUCUAAGCAUCAGGUAACAUCAAAUCGUACCCCAAACCGACACAGGUGGUCAGGUAGAGAAUACCAAGGCGCUUGAGAGAACUCGGGUGAAGGAACUAGGCAAAAUGGUGCCGUAACUUCGGGAGAAGGCACGCUGACAUGUAGGUGAAGUGAUUUACUCAUGGAGCUGAAGUCAGUCGAAGAUACCAGCUGGCUGCAACUGUUUAUUAAAAACACAGCACUGUGCAAACACGAAAGUGGACGUAUACGGUGUGACGCCUGCCCGGUGCCGGAAGGUUAAUUGAUGGGGUCAGCGCAAGCGAAGCUCCUGAUCGAAGCCCCGGUAAACGGCGGCCGUAACUAUAACGGUCCUAAGGUAGCGAAAUUCCUUGUCGGGUAAGUUCCGACCUGCACGAAUGGCGUAAUGAUGGCCAGGCUGUCUCCACCCGAGACUCAGUGAAAUUGAACUCGCUGUGAAGAUGCAGUGUACCCGCGGCAAGACGGAAAGACCCCGUGAACCUUUACUAUAGCUUGACACUGAACAUUGAGCCUUGAUGUGUAGGAUAGGUGGGAGGCUUUGAAGCGUGGACGCCAGUCUGCGUGGAGCCGACCUUGAAAUACCACCCUUUAAUGUUUGAUGUUCUAACGUGGACCCGU
rnacentral:rRNA from 1 species